ACGACGUCAAGUCAUCAUGGCCCUUACGACCAGGGCUACACACGUGCUACAAUGGUAGGUACAGAGGGCAGCUACACAGCGAUGUGAUGCGAAUCUCAAAAAGCCUAUCGUAGUCCAGAUUGGAGUCUGCAACUCGACUCCAUGAAGUAGGAAUCGCUAGUAAUCGCGGAUCAGAAUGCCGCGCUGAAUCCGCUCCCGGGCCUUGUACACACCGCCCGUCACACCAUGGGAGUUGAUUGCACCAGAAGUGGAUAGCUUAACCUUCGGGGAGGCGUUCACCACGGUGUGGUUGAUGACUGGGGUGAAGUCGUAACAAGGUA
rnacentral:rRNA from 1 species